AUGCAAGUCGAGCGGGCAUAGCAAUAUGUCAGCGGCAGACGGGUGAGUAACGCGUGGGAACGUACCUUUUGGUUCGGAACAACUGAGGGAAACUUCAGCUAAUACCGGAUAAGCCCUUACGGGGAAAGAUUUAUCGCCGAAAGAUCGGCCCGCGUCUGAUUAGCUAGUUGGUGAGGUAAUGGCUCACCAAGGCGACGAUCAGUAGCUGGUCUGAGAGGAUGAUCAGCCACAUUGGGACUGAGACACGGCCCAAACUCCUACGGGAGGCAGCAGUGGGGAAUAUUGGACAAUGGGCGCAAGCCUGAUCCAGCCAUGCCGCGUGAGUGAUGAAGGCCCUAGGGUUGUAAAGCUCUUUUGUGCGGGAAGAUAAUGACGGUACCGCAAGAAUAAGCCCCGGCUAACUUCGUGCCAGCAGCCGCGGUAAUACGAAGGGGGCUAGCGUUGCUCGGAAUCACUGGGCGUAAAGGGUGCGUAGGCGGGUCUUUAAGUCAGGGGUGAAAUCCUGGAGCUCAACUCCAGAACUGCCUUUGAUACUGAAGAUCUUGAGUUCGGGAGAGGUGAGUGGAACUGCGAGUGUAGAGGUGAAAUUCGUAGAUAUUCGCAAGAUCACCAGUGGCGAAGGC
rnacentral:rRNA from 1 species